rnacentral:tRNA from 2 species
GCCCGAGUGGCGGAAUCGGCAGACGCGACGGAUUCAAAAUCCGUUGGUGCUUACGCACCGUGAGGGUUCAAGUCCCUCCUCGGGCACCC